rnacentral:lncRNA from 10 species
CCAGCAGCCACCGGAGGCAGUGAGAUAAUGGAGGAAGAAUGUAGGGAGACCUCCAGUGGACCGCACUCCUUCUAGCGAGCCGCGGAAACCAUAGAGAUCAGGGCUCAGCCGGAGGGCCGGCCCACUGCUGUCACGUGGCCUCCAUCCGUGCGCUUUAUUGGCUGGUGCUGGCUUUACGGGGUUGAAUUUUGGACGCUGCCUGCCAUUCGUGGGACCGAGUUUCAGGCAGCUGGAAUAAAGAGAGACAUCGGGGGAAAGCCGCGAGAAGGCCAGCGUCCCUGGCUGGGAGCAGAGCUAGCCGAGUAGGGCGCCCGGCUGUCAAACUGGCCGGCGCAGUGCACGCUGGGCCGCCCCGGAGCGGUCGCAGAGCCCGUCGGGAGUCGUAGUCCGGGACGGGCCCGCGGCAUUGUCCGCGACGCAGCUCGGGAUCCGGGUCGGGGUGUCGGCCGGGUUGCUGCCGGGCACCGUCGAGCGUUAGCCACCCAGCAUUGAGCUGCCAGCGGCUGUUCUCCCUAAGCACCCUCGCUCACGUCGCCUCGCCUCGCCUCGCCUGACCGGCCGCAGCCUUGGAUACCAGCCUUAAAUCGAGCCGACUACGGCCCAGCCCCGCCCGCGGCGAGGAAUCCACUGAAGACCUACAUUUCCCGGAAGGUUAACAGCCCCCUUCUCAGUUUUCCUGCUGCUCCUAUCAGUGACAAAUCAGCGUAUUAGAACAUGCAUGCUGGCUGAUCAUUCUGAUCAAGUCAACAAGCUUCACAACUUACUCAAUGAGGUCGUCCGUGAGAACUUCACUGUUUUACGGGGACAGGAGCUACUUCUUUGCUGAACUGCAUCACGGUUUCAACUGCUGAGGUUUUCUUCAAGCUUUUGCAUUGUUUGGAAUGUGAAGGGCAUGGCCGAGACACACUUUGAGGUUCCCACUGCAUUGUUACACCUCCCCCCUCACUUCAGGGCCAGGUAACACCAAGAAGGACGCCAUGAGAGCGAAGGCCGUUGGGUCACCGCCCUUUGCUCUCGCGCUGCGCGUCUCCCUGCCAUCAACCGCCGCAACUGGCGCUGGGAGCGGUUGAGGGCGGCCGGCCUCGCGCUGGAACCUCGCCCGCCUCAAGGCUCCUGCGGCGGCACACGGGGCAGGCCAGGACCCGCCCUAGGAGGGCCCCGCUGGAGAUGUGGAAAUGGAGGGACGCGGCACCUGGGCGCUUCCUGGGGCCAGACAACGCCCCCUCAUUGGAACCUCCAUGACCCUGCCUCUGAGAAACCAGCGCGUCCGCAACGAUCACUCCUAAUUUUCGGUAAUACAAACCUGCAGUCCAUGCACUUAGGUAACACCCUUGCUGAAAGGUUUACCUUUGGAGGGUUUAUCCUAAAGCAAAGUAUCCUCAAAUUGCAUGUCUUGCAUUCCCUUUGGAUGGCAUUGAUUUCAUUCCUGCUCAUGCCUUUCAAAAAAUAGUAUGCCCUGUUUUCCUACUCAGUCUGGAGGUUCCAUUAAAGAGUAUUUCUGGCAAAGAUUUUUAGACCUGAAAACACACUCCAAAAUAUAUUUUCUUCUGACUCCAUUCCCAGAGUUUUUCCUACCGCAUUCAAAUGAUUUCUAGAAAUGUUUUUGUUGUAGCCUUGAUCAAUUUCAGUCGAUAAAGCAGCAGAUAGUAAGGGAACAAUUCCACGCUCCCCACCCCUGACUCUGCAACACAGUGCAGAAUUCCAGUUGGCAAUAAAAAACUAGUAGAGAAGGAACUCACUGACUUCAGUUUGUAAUACCGUCAGAAGAAACUUUAAUCGUCACAUCCUUUCUGCUCAUUUGCAGGAUUCCUAUCAUCUGUCUCCACGUGAUAACACUGAAGAGCCUUCACAUUGAUGCAGGCCCAGGGCCUCAAGUGCAGAGACUGAGAGCUCUGCAGGACACAGCAUGGAGCCGCCAUUCCUCUACUGGGUGGAGGAGCAUGUGUCCUCUGAACAGGGGAU